CCUCAGUAACGGCGAGUGAAGCGGUAAUAGCUCAAAUUUGAANUCUGGCUCUUUUAGGGUNCGAGUUGUAAUUUGUAGAGGAUGUUUCGGGCACGGCUACGGUUUAAAUUUCUUGGAACAGAAUGUCAUAGAGGGUGAGAGUCCCGUCUUGAACCGAUUGCUUCGUCCAUGUGAAACUCCUUCGACGAGUCGAGUUGUUUGGGAAUGCAGCUCAAAAUGGGUGGUAAAUUUCAUCUAAAGCUAAAUAUUGGCCAGAGACCGAUAGCGCACAAGUAGAGUGAUCGAAAGAUGAAAAGCACUUUGAAAAGAGAGUUAAACAGUAUGUGAAAUUGUUGAAAGGGAAGCGCUUGUAAUCAGACUUGAGCUCAACAGUUCCCCCUUCGUUCUCGUUGGGUUAUUCUGUUUUGUCCAGGCCAACAUCAGUUCGGGUGGUUGGUUAGAGACUUUGGGAAUGUAUCUACCCUCCGGGGUCGACUUAUAGCCUAGAGUGUCAUGCAGCCUACCUGGACUGAGGAACGCGCUUCGGCUCGGAUGUUGGCGUAAUGGUUAUAAGCGACC
rnacentral:rRNA from 1 species